UGUUCGUAUUCUCGGUUCCACUAUUCGCCACCUCCUUCAUCUUCUUCCUCCAGGAAACCCUAACUUUUCUCCACUUUCUACCUCUCUCUCUGUUCUAAUGGUUUGUAUUUACUAUUUGUAAGUGUAUAUGAGCGGAGCGGGAGAUAGGAGCUUCUUCUCCGAAGUCCGAAGGCGCACUAAUUCAUACGUCGUCUUUCAUAAUUUUUCUCGAAAAAUUUAUCGCUAAUCUCUGCCUCGCUUAAUCAGCUGCAGCAGCCAGGAAGUUUUUAAGCUGGCGUGCAUUAGCCUGCAUACCUUAGAUGAUCGUUAACAAGAGAACUUCAGGAGACUUUUUAUGCCAACUUGUAAAAUAGGAGUUUGCCAUCACGAGUUCAUGAACAAGUAUUGUUUGUGUCAUAGUUUGUAUAUGAUGAUUUUGUCCUGAUCAAGCCAAAAACACAGAGAUAGACUAUAGUGAGUGAAUGAAUGUUUGAGGAGAAGGAUCAUAUUAAAGAAAUGAGCAGUGUUGACAGAAACAGUCAGAAUAGCAGUAACUCAUCCUUUUCAUCAACUCAUCCAAAAAUUGAUGGUAAUUCUCAUGAUGUAGUUCAUAACAAUAAUCCUGAUCUUCUCCCUCCAACCCACUACUCCAGAGUACGUAUGGGAAAUUAUAGUGAUAUUGAAUCCGCCGCUCAAGAUGCUGUGUUACGUGAACAAGAAAUCACUACUCAAACAGUUAUACGCAGCCAAAGAGAGGCAAGAGGUGUGGAAGGAUCUCUUCAGGAUAGCUCAGACAUUUUCUCUGGACAUCAUGACCCCAAUGCUAUCAAGGAGCAUCUAUUAAAGAUGACCACUGAACAUCGUGCUGAAAUGGCUUCAAAACGCGGGAGGUCUACUCUAUCCGAAGAAGGUAACACAGAGAUCGGUAAUGGAUAUGGAGUCCCUGGUGGAGGUGCCUAUAAUGGUGGAAAUUUUGGAGCUGGAAGUAACGAAAUGGAUGAGAAAAAUUCUGUGCCUGAUGGAGAGUCAGAACAUAAGCCCGCACCUAAAGAGUUGCCUAAGUAUCUUAAACAAAAGUUAAGAGCAAGGGGAAUCCUUAAGGAUGAGCCAGAAAAAAAUAUUUCAAAAUUGGAGACUAGUUCAAUGAAAGUCACAGAAAAGGCAACGUUGCCUCCUGGAUGGGUAGAAGCAAAAGACCCUUCAAGUGGUGCUUUCUACUACUACCAUGCGGCAACGGGGAAAAGUCAAUGGGAAAGGCCUGUGGAAACACCAAUUAUACAACCUCCAACACCCCCUCAGACAGAAGAUUGGGUAGAAGCACUAGAUGAAACAUCAGGCCACAAGUAUUACUACAACACAAAGACUCAUGUAUCACAAUGGGAACGCCCUAAGACACAUGUAUCACAAUGGGAACCUCCCAGUGCAUCCCAACAAGUUGCAAAUCAGCACCUUCUCAAUGCAGUUUCUGAAAGUAUAUCCAAUGUGAAUGGGAAAUCUGGGCUUCUAGAACAGAAGGAUCAAUCAUCUGAACCAGAGAGGUGCAUGGGAUGUGGGGGGUGGGGAGUCGGGCUAGUGCAGAUGUGGGGAUACUGCAAUCACUGCACAAGAGUUUUAAAUCUUCCUCAAAGCAAAUUUUUGAGAACCCAUGCAAUUAACCACUAUCUGGUUUGCAAACCAGCAGAACUGAAAGGAGAUUCUGACAAAAAGGUGCUUAACCAGAGGUCCAAUUGGAAGCCUCCAAUGGGAAAAGGAAAUAAAAGAGAGAGUAAGAAACGAGCAUACUCGCAGGAUGAUGAGCUGGAUCCAAUGGACCCAAGCUCUUAUUCUGAUGCCCCAAGAGGGGGCUGGGUUGUAGGCCUUAAAGGGGUACAGCCACGAGCUGCUGAUACCACUGCCACGGGACCCCUAUUCCAACAGCGUCCUUACCCAUCGCCAGGAGCUGUUUUGCGGAAGAAUGCUGAAGUUGCUUCACAAACCAAGAAAUCAGGCUCACCCUUUAUACCUAUAUCCAAAAGAGGAGAUGGGAGUGAUGGACUUGGUGAUGCUGAUUAAGAAGACAUCCCAAAAAAUAAUAAUAUGCAGAGCUGGAAGGCAAUUGUGUCAUUUGUUUGUAGUCGAGGAAGGAUAAAUGACGCUUAGGUGUUCUUGAAUUGUUUGAUUAACGCUGUGAUUUAUCCGGAACCCUAAGUGUGGUAAAGGCAAGGAAAAGUUGAGGAAGUGAGUGCCGGGGUCUGCUUGCAAAAGUGUAAAUGUGGCCCGACCUUUGGGAAGUUUGCACUUUUGAAAUGACUAUUUUAAUUAUGUUUAAACAACUUUGGUUGCUACAAUGCUUUUAAGUUUUAAUGUAAUUUUUUUUAGUGUGUGCACACAUUACACUUAAAAAGGUUUUUUAUGAGUAUUUUUUAGACUUUUUUAAUGGUAUAAAUGGUUUUAUUUUUGCAAAAAUUAGUGUUAGUAUUUUUCGGUCAUUAAAGGUGGUAUCAUAGCUUGAGUUGAUCCGAUUCUGUAGACAAACCCACAUGUACAUUCUGCAAGGUAGAUCGACACUCUGUAAGUAUUACCUUUAAAUUUAUUUUAGUUGGGUU